AAGCUUUGUUAUAUAUUUGAGCUCCACAGAAUUCAAGAAUCAAAAGAAGACUAGCAGACGGUGUACAUCCUAAUUGUUGUCUGGGUGCUGCGACAUUCAAAUACACCUCUGCCACCUGCUAGCUACAUCAGAAGAAAUUACAUCAAAAUCCAGCUUGGGGGAGAGCACCCCCAUUUAUCCAGCUAAGUGUUUCUACUCGUGUUUAUACUUUACUCGAAUAAUAAAAAGAUGCAUAAUCAUAAAAAUCCAAAUAAAGAUUUUGUGCUUAUAUAUAUGUAUAUAUCUUUGCUUAGUUUGCUAAAUAAAUAAAUAAAUAAAGUCUGCUAUGAACCCUCAUGAUAAGAUCUCACAUGGAAAUGAUGAAUAGUUGCUCUGCCAUGACUAGUUCUCAAAAUUGAAUUCCCUCUCAAGUUUAGGCAUGAUUUUUAUGAAUUAAGAUUUGCUCUAAACCUGAACUUGUGGGAAGAGUACUUGAUCUAAAGUCUAAGUCGUUAACGGAUACGAUAUGGGAAGGUUGAGCUGCUGUUUAUCUGUUCCUAGAGAUGCUAGAAUUCUAGAGAAUUUUAUCUUUGAAAAUCUUUAAAAUGUUGCAUGAUGAGUUCCUGUAUGAUGAGAGUUUAAAAUCCUACCACAGCCAUAUAUACAUGCUUAUUAGACUAUGAACCAUACAUUUAUUUUUUUACUACUUAUGAGCAUUGAGUGUGGUCAAGCUGUGUAGACCCUUAGGAGCUUGUCAUGCGGUUAAAAUCAAGAUUCACUUGCAUGUUCACUCAUACAUGCUGCUUCUACUCCGGAAGUACGCAUCCACAUACAUCCACUAAUUUCCAUCUCCAGAUUCACCCAAAAUUAUUCUACCCCUAUCCAGGAGAGAAUAGCCAAAACCAUUAUCCUAUCCCUGUUAUUCCCCGUGAAAUAAAUGAUCGAGAUAUUUUGGUUACUACCACUUGCUACAUUAUUCCAGGAGGGUGAGUGCUCUGAAAAAAAAAGAGUGAAUACAAGGAAAUAAAAAGGGGCAAGUGCCCGGAACCUCGAAGAAAAGAAAAAGUGAGACGAGAGGUAAAAAAUGGACAAGUGUCCGACAGUAGAAUUAGGGGUACAAGAUACCCACCUAAGAGAAAAGAAAAAGAAAAUAUAGAGCAUCUCAUUCCCCUCAAAAAGCUUCAAAGUGCAAGAAAGGUAUGUAUCCCCUCAAAAGAGCAAAAGUAGAAUUAGACUUUCACCAUUGUUUUCACCAUUAUCACCAUCAUCACCAUACACCUUUCAUUCACCACACAUGCACAUCUUGAUUUGACUUAUUGACUUGUUUCUCUGGAUCCAUGGUUUGACUAUGCAAUAAAUGUCUUAUAAGUAUGUAUACUUUAUCUCCCACCUAUGAGCUCCAGAUAUCAAAGCCUUAUUAGAGUAGGAUGAGAGAGAAGGCAAUGUCACUAUGCCUCAUACCACAAAUACCACAUACUUUGAGAGAAGGCAUAUACCAUCACUGUCUUGGUGAGGAUCCAGAAAUACCACAAAAGAGAGAAUUGAGAGUCAUACAAGGAAUCUCUGAGUUUUAUUUUGAAAAUCUACAAAAAACUCCAGAGCUAUAGCUGAUCAAGAAUAAGAGACAUGGCGCUUGACUAGACCGUUCUAUCUUUUAACUACUAAAGACACAAGUGACGGUUGCAAGCCCCAUGGUGGAAGGUAAUAUGAGUAAGUUUAAAUCUUAACAGUUUACCCUAACCUAGAGAUGAGAUCUUGUUUGAACACAUGUGUACCUUUAAGGCAUGAAUUCCACGAGUUUUGGUGUUUGUCUAUUUCUACACGGGGUUAUCAGGAAAUAUGGAGGAAAGGCCCACACGUCGGGUUUACAUAGAGAUAUUAACAUGCCGUGCAAUUUUCUAUCAUCUAGAAGACUCUAGAAGCCAUUGGAACGAACGAGAAGCCGAGCGGGCUCGGGGGCAGGGCGCCCGCCUAGCUAUAGGAACCAAUCAGGUUCUACUUCGCGGAUCAUGCUCCACCGACCUAAAGGAUUAAGGAAAACCGUGCGAUUAAGGUCGGUUUGGUCCGACGACCCACAUUCAUUUGGAAGGACUAUAUAAGCAGACCCCCUGGCCCCUGGAGGAGGCACCCCCUUGAUCCCUAUUCAUUAUUCAUAGACAGAGCAAAAGCUAGGGUUUGGAGAUGAGAGCUCUCCUCUCAUCUCUAAACUAGAUUAGAUCUAGAUAGCAGCGAGAUGGAGAGCGAGGGAGGAUUGGAGGAGAGGCCGGCCUGUCGGUUCUUCCUCCGGUUGUACUUCGCCAUGAUCAAGCUCUAAUCAAGCUUGCUCAUGGGAUGACUCUGGUAAUCUACUUCUAUUUCAUUAUGCAAUUACUAUCUAUGUUUGUUCUGUUUCACAACUCUUUUGAGUACUUUAAUCUAUAGGACGCUAUAGGUGUGAGUUGUAGUAUAGGUGUAAGCAUGGUGGUUAGACCUAGAUUACUUGUGGAUAUCACCUGUCUAGCCGGAUCGUGUGGUAGGCCGCGUAGGUGACAGUUUCGUUGGUCCACUGUAGUCCACCUCCCGUUAGCAGGACUGUAGGGUUUAUCGGUCUAUGGAUAAGCAUCCUUUGUGGUGUAUUCUUAUCAUGUGAUUCGUCCCAGACAUAGACAUAUCGCUUUGAAGUAGAGAAACCAUAGUUAUCCUCUCUAUUCUCCUACCAUCGCCCAUAUACUAGAUUGCUCUACUCUCUAUUCCCCUAUUAUCACCCAUUGUUAUCUUACCUUUAAUAUUGUUCUUAUUCAAUUCUACCAUCUUUCCUAUUUACACCUACCUAUCUAUCUAGGUUAAGUUAGAGUGUAGAUCAGUUCUCCCGUUUCCCUGUGCAUAUGAUAAAACCUUUAACCGGGUAAAAGCUACAACGGUAUCUGUGUGCUUGCGGAUUUAUUUGUGUGCGUAUAAAUACCAUAGUACAUUCUAGUGCCAUGCUGGGGAUGACAACCUAGUAUUCAAGUGGUGUUAGCAAGUGUCAACAUUUAUUUGUUCCUAGAGAUGCUAGAAUUCUAGAGAAUUUUAUCUUUAAAAAUCUUUAAAAUAACACAUGAUGAGUUCCUGUAUGAUGAGAGUUUAAAUUCCUACCACAGCCAUAUAUACAUGCUUGCUAGACUUUGAGCCACACAUUUACUUUUUACUGCUUAUGAGCAUUGAGUGUGGUCAAGCUGUGUAGACCCUUAGGAGCUUGUCAUGUGGUUAAAAUCAAGAUUCAUUUGCAUGUUCACUCACACAUGCUGCUUCUACUCCGGAAGUACGCAUCCACAUAUACCCACUCAUUUCCAUCUCCAGAACCACCCAAAAAUAUUCUACUCCUAAUCCGUUAGAGAAUAGCCAAAAACAUUCCUAUUUUCCAUGUGAAAUAAAUGCUCAAGUUAUCUUGGUUACUACCACUUGCUAUAUUAUUUCAGGAGAUGAGAGCUCUAAAAAAAAAGAUAAAAAAUACUAGGAAAUAAAAAGGGGCAAGUGCCUGGAACCUCGAAAGAAAGAAAAAGUGAGACGAGAGGUAAAAAUGGAUAAGUGUCCGACAGUAGAUUUAGGGGUACAAGAUACCCACCAGAGAGGAAAGAAAAAAAGAAAAUAUUGAGCAUCUCAUUCUCCUCAAAAAGUUUCAAAGAGCAAGAAAGGUAUGUAUCCCCUCAAAAGAGCAACAAGUAGAAUUAGACUUUCACCAUUGUUAUCACCAUCGUCACCAUACAACAUUCAUUCGCCACACAUGCACAUCUUCAUUUGACUUAUUGAUUUGUUUAUUUGGAUCCAUGGUUUGACUAUACAAUAAAUGUCUUGUAAGUAUGUAUACUUUAUACACUGUUCUAUCUUUUAACUACUCAAGACAGAAGUGACGGUUACAAGUCCCAUGGUGAAAGGUGAAAUGAAUAAGUUUUAAGUCUUGACAGUUUACUCUAACUCAGAGAUGAGACCUAAUUUGAAAGCAUGUGUACCGUUAAUUUUUUAAAUGGUAUUGUAGCAACUUCUGAUCCAUUACUAAGAUUAUCCUUGCUCAGGGACGAGCAAGAGAUAAGCUUGGGGGAGUUGUUGACGGUCCUUAGGUAUCAAAUUUAAUUGUCAAAUAAACAAAGAAAAGGAUCCAAAUGCAAUCGACAUCUAGACUUAGGGUUUUAUCUGACAGAUUUCCACGAGUUUUGGUGUUUGUCUAUUUCUGCGGGGGGUUAUCAGGAAAUAUGGAAGAAAGGCCCACACGUCGGGUUUACAUAGAGAUAUUAACGUGUCGUGCAAUUAUCUUACAUCUAGAAGUGUCCAGAAGCCACAGGAACGAACGGGAGACCGAACGGGCUCGGGGGCAGGGCGCCCGCCCUCCCCCCUUGGGCGCCCGCCCUGGCCUCGGGGCCAAUCACAGCCAACUUCGCGGAUCAUGCUCCACCGACCUAAAGGAUCAAGGAAAACCGUGCGAUUAAUGUCGGUUUGAUCCGACGGCCUACGUUCACUUGGAAGGACUAUAUAACCAGACUCCCUGGCCCCUGGAGGAGAGGACAUCUGACCCCUAAUUCAUUAUUCAUCUUGGGAGAAGAAGCCUCUGAUCAAGCCCUAGAGCCACCACAUUAAUUAGAUCUCUAGUUUAGCAUAGCUACAUAGGAUUAGAACUAGAAGGAAUCAAUCUUCGAUUGGUUUCCUGAUCUGUCAAGAGGAUUCUUGGUAAUUCUCUAUUGUUCUUCAAUUGUUCAUCUUUGUUCUUCAAUAUUAUGAAUAUGACUUUGCUCUACUUCAGUAUAUUGCUUAUGACUUUGCUCUACUUGUUUAUAUUUGCAAUUAUAUUUUUCUUAGUUUAUCAUAGUUAUGUACUUGGCUUAGUUACAUUGGAUUUAUAUACAUGUUUAGGAUCGUAUAGCAUUUAUCCAUUUGUACACUGGGUAAAUGAUAAGUAUUGUGUAGGCGUGGUGCCUAUACCAUAUUUAUCUACGAUUGUACCUUAUAUGCCAGAUCGAGGGAUAGUUCG
rnacentral:lncRNA from 1 species